UGGCGUAAACAAAGGGAAGCGAGACGGUGACGUUAAGCAAAUCCCAGAAAUAACGUCCCAGUUCGGAUUGUAGUCUGCAACCCGACUACAUGAAGCUGGAAUCGCUAGUAAUCGCGAAUCAGAAUGUCGCGGUGAAUACGUUCCCGGGUCUUGUACACACCGCCCGUCACACCAUGGGAGUCGGAAAUGCCCGAAGUCAGUGACCCAACCGUAAGGAGGGAGCUGCCGAAGGUGGAGCCGGUAACUGGGGUGAAGUCGUAACAAGGUAAC
rnacentral:rRNA from 1 species